UACGGAAGGCAGCAGUGGGGAAUAUUGCACAAUGGGCGAAAGCCUGAUGCAGCUAUGCCGCGUGUAUGAAGAAGGCCUUAGGGUUGUAAAGUACUUUCAUCGGGGAGGAAAAACAAAACUAAUAAUUUUAUUUCUUGACGUUACCCGAAAAAGAAGCACCGGCUAACUCCGUGCCAGCAGCCGCGGUAAUACGGAGGGUGCUAGCGUUAACCAGAAUUACUGGGCGUAAAGAGCACGUAGGUGGUUUUUUUAAGUCAGAUGUGAAAUCCCUGGGCUUAACCUAGGAACUGCAUUUUGAAACUGAAAUACUAGAGUAUCGUAGAGGGAGGUAGAAUUCUAGGUGUAGCGGUGAAAUGCGUAGAUAUCUGGAGGAAUACCUGUGGCGAAAGCGGCCUCCUAAACGAAUACUGACACUGAGGGUGCGAAAGCGUGGGGAGCAAACAGGGAUUAGAUACC
rnacentral:rRNA from 1 species